rnacentral:rRNA from 1 species
AUGUCACUGGACCACAGCCCCACGGGCUCCCUCGUCGUGUACGGCGAUGACAUCGAGGAGGCCAUGUCCCCCAACCGGAGCGUCGCCGCCGUGGCCGUCAAGGACGGCGACGCCUCCGUGUACAAGAUCAUCCACGGCUUCCUCAAGCAGAAGAACAACUCCAUCAUCAACGUCGCCGCCAGCGUCGCCCGCAAGGCCGCCUCCAACAAGCUGUCGAGGAAGACUUCGGAUGUUUUCGACACCUUGAUUCAGCAGCAGCAGAGCAGGCUGGGGAACAAGACCGGGCCUCUGCUCUCUGGGAUAUCCUACUGCAUAGCCUCUUGCAGCAUGAUAUUGCUCAACAAGGUGGUUCUCUCCAGCUACAACUUCAAUGCUGGAAUCUCACUCAUGUUGUACCAGAAUCUUAUAUCCGUGGUCAUUCUUGUGGCACUCGAGUUCUUCAGCGUAAUUUCAACGGAAGAACUGACAUGGAAGUUGAUCAAAGUCUGGAUUCCAGUUAAUCUCAUUUUUGUUGGAAUGCUAGUAACUGGAAUGUACAGUUUGAAGUACAUAAAUGUUGCCAUGGUGACAAUAUUAAAGAACAUGACAAACAUUUUAACGGCUAUAGGGGAGAUAUAUGUUUUCAGGAAGUGUCAGAACAAACAGGUUUGGGCUGCCUUAUGUAUGAUGAUUAUAUCAGCUGUAAGUGGCGGCAUGACAGAUCUUUCUUUCCAUCUAGUCGGUUACACGUGGCAGAUUUUGAAUUGCUUUCUGACAGCAGCCUAUUCGCUUACACUGAGACGCCUGAUGGACACAGCCAAACAAUCAACUAAAUCGGGUUCUCUCAAUGAAGUUUCUAUGGUGCUACUUAACAAUGCGCUCUCGAUCCCUUUCGCGGUCAUUUUGAUUAUUGUCUUCAACGAGUGGGAAUACGUGUACCAAACCGAAGUUAUCAGAGAGCCCAUGUUCUGGUUUUUUGCGACCGCCAGUGGAUUGUUAGGACUAGCGAUCAGCUUCUCAUCCGUGUGGUUUUUACAGGAGACUGGCCCAACAACUUACAGCCUUGUUGGCUCACUAAACAAGAUACCCAUUUCGGUCGCUGGUGUCUUGCUAUUCAACGUCCCUGUUAGCGUGGAAAAUUUGUUCAGCAUAGUUUUCGGCCUUUUUGCUGGGAUAUUCUUCGCAAAGGCAAAGAUGUCCAAGUCCUAA